AAAAGUUCCCUCGUUGUAUUAUGGCUUCACAAUAUUCACGGAUGUAGACUCGGCUAUCUAUUUGUUAUAAUAUGAUGACUGAUGCGAUCGACGUUCGAUCAUCGCGUUGGGCCGAUAUUUUAUUGUCGUCCUAACUAUUUUAACGAUGCGUCUCCGUUUAUACGAAUUUAUACAAGCUUAUAGAAUAUUAUUGCGAUAGCUAUUAACUGCAAUAACGCGUAAAUCGACG